rnacentral:rRNA from 1 species
AGAUUGAACGCUGGCGGCAUGCCUAACACAUGCAAGUCGAACGGGAGUAGCAAUACUCUAGUGGCGGACGGGUGAGGAAUACGUAGGAAUUUGCCCUUAAGUGGGGGAUAACCCGGGGAAACCCGGAUUAAUACCGCAUGACCUCGAAAGAGCAAAGUGGGGGAUCGCAAGACCUCACGCUUUUGGAGAAGCCUACGUCGGAUUAGCUAGUUGGUGAGGUAAUGGCUCACCAAGGCGACGAUCCGUAACUGGUCUGAGAGGAUGAUCAGUCACACCGGAACUGAGACACGGUCCGGACUCCUACGGGAGGCAGCAGUGGGAAUAUUGGACAAUGGGCGCAAGCCUGAUCCAGCAAUGCCGUCGUGUGUGAAGGAAGGCCGUUCGGGUUGUAAAGCGUAACUUUAAGGUUAGGGAAAGAAAAAACGUCGACUACUAACGACAGUCGUAGUC